rnacentral:rRNA from 1 species
GGUAGAGAGAAGCUUGCUUCUCUUGAGAGCGGCGGACGGGUGAGUAAUGCCUAGGAAUCUGCCUGGUAGUGGGGGAUAACGCUCGGAAACGGACGCUAAUACCGCAUACGUCCUACGGGAGAAAGCAGGGGACCUUCGGGCCUUGCGCUAUCAGAUGAGCCUAGGUCGGAUUAGCUAGUUGGUGAGGUAAUGGCUCACCAAGGCGACGAUCCGUAACUGGUCUGAGAGGAUGAUCAGUCACACUGGAACUGAGACACGGUCCAGACUCCUACGGGAGGCAGCAGUGGGGAAUAUUGGACAAUGGGCGAAAGCCUGAUCCAGCCAUGCCGCGUGUGUGAAGAAGGUCUUCGGAUUGUAAAGCACUUUAAGUUGGGAGGAAGGGCAUUAACCUAAUACGUUGGUGUCUUGACGUUACCGACAGAAUAAGCACCGGCUAACUCUGUGCCAGCAGCCGCGGUAAUACAGAGGGUGCAAGCGUUAAUCGGAAUUACUGGGCGUAAAGCGCGCGUAGGUGGUUUGUUAAGUUGGAUGUGAAAUCCCCCGGGCUCAACCUGGGGAACUGCAUU